GACGAACGCUGGCGGCGUGCUUAACACAUGCAAGUCGAACGGAAAGGCCCUGCUUUUGUGGGCUGCUCGAGUGGCGAACGUGUGAGUAACACGUCAGUAACCUGCCCCUGACUUUGCUACAACUUCAGGAAACUGGGGCUAAUUCCUGACAGCUGCUCCUGCUGCAUGGUGGGGGUUGGAUAGUCUCGGCGGUUGGGGCUGGACUCGCGGCUUAUCAGCUUGUUGGUGGGGUAGUGGCUUACCAAGGCCUUGACGGGUAGCCGGCCUGAGAGGGUGACCGGCCACAUUGGGACUGAGAUACGGCCCAGACUCCUACGGGAGGCAGCAGUGGGGAAUAUUGCGCAAUGGGCGGAAGCCUGAUGCAGCAACGCCGCGUGCGGGAUGACGGCCUUCGGGUUGUAAACCGCUUUCAGCUGGGACGAAGCGUGAGUGACGGUAAUUGGUAAAGAAGCACCGGCUAACUACGUG
rnacentral:rRNA from 1 species